rnacentral:rRNA from 1 species
AUGUCGACCUUGGCGUUGCGGAUUGCCAACGGCCCGGUGCGGGGCAUCGGUCGGAUGCGGAAGACUAGGUGCCUCAUCAAAGAGUCGCAGGAGGCGAUCGGCGAGGAGGCGCGCCUGCGCGAGUCCGCGCUCGUCAUCACGGUGGCUGGAACCAGGCCGGCGCUGGUGCCGGCACACAUCUCCGAGGCCAUCUUGGCGGACUUCCCCGACAUGCCUCAGGGUGACUUCCAGGUCUCCCUCAUGCGGCCGGGCUCCUUCUUCGUCCGGUUCGCGCACCGCCGUUGGUUCGACCUGGUGCGAGAGGCCGACGCCGUCCACUACCGCGGCACGCCGCUCCUGGUGAGGCGGUGGAACAGAUGGACAUUUGCAACAUCCGUGCAAUGUCAAUACAGCGUCCGCCUGUUCAUCCAAGGCAUCCCGCCUCAAGAAUUCUCGCUGCAGACGGCUCAAGAUCUGUUGCCAGAAUGCCAAAUUUACCAGGUGGCGAUCGAGUCCUUUGACAAGUUGGAUCUCUCCUACUUUGUCGUCCGGGCUUGGGUUGAUGAUCUCGACGAGGUGCCGACGAAGACGGUCCUGACGGUGCGCCCCGACCUGCUGGCGCACGUCUCCCUACCGCCGGGCUUUGACCUUGAGGGUGAUGAACCUGAGGCAUGCGCCUGCACCGAGCAUCUUCCGCGUGUGCUGCGAUACCCACCAGUGCUGAUCCACCUCGACACGGUGACCUUCUACCCGCCACGGCCUGCCAACGUGGCGAUCCUCGGUGGCGGGGGAGGGGACGAAGAAGGGGCGCCGCCGCCGGAGGAGAUGCCACACCCGUGGCAAGAUGGGAUUGCGGACGACAUCACCAGCACAAGGACUGGAUUCGGGCUAACGCUGGCCGAGCGCAGGGAGCGGCGGCCCUUACUCCGGCCGAUAUCACCGCGUCCCGGGCGUUCUGCAGCCGGAGGACAUCUACACGGACGCAGCGGCGGCUGCAGACCCGGCCGAUUUCCACGUGCGUGCCCGACGGGAGAGCACUUACGGCGUUCCCACCGCCAACGUGCAUGUGCAUGGCACCCUGCAGGCGGCCCCACCGGAAGCUGA